UACGUAGGGGGCAAGCGUUGUCCGGAUUUAUUGGGCGUAAAGCGCGUGUAGGCGGCCAGGUAGGUCCGUUGUGAAAACUCGAGGCUCAACCUCGAGACGCCGAUGGAAACCAUCUGGCUAGAGUCCGGAAGAGGAGAGUGGAAUUCCUGGUGUAGCGGUGAAAUGCGCAGAUAUCAGGAAGAACACCCGUGGCUAAGGCGGCUCUCUAGUACGGUACUGACGCUGAGACGCGAAAGCGUGGGGAGCGAACAGG
rnacentral:rRNA from 1 species